GACAGAGGGGGCAAGCGUUGCUCGGAAUUACUGGGCGUAAAGGGCGCGUAGGCUGCGGGGCAAGUCGGGUGUGAAAUCUCAGAGCUCAACUCUGAAACUGCACUCGAUACUGCUUUGCUCGAGGACUGGAGAGGAGAUUGGAAUUCACGGUGUAGCAGUGAAAUGCGUAGAUAUCGUGAGGAAGACCAGUGGCGAAGGCGGAUCUCUGGACAGUUCCUGACGCUGAGGCGCGAAGGCCAGGGGAGCAAACGGG
rnacentral:rRNA from 1 species